CCUCAGGACUCCAGUGGUGGACCUCUCCUCCCCACAGGAUUCCAGUGGUGGACCUCUCCUCAGGACUCCAGUGGUGGACCUCUCCUCCCCUCAGGACUCCAGUGGUGGACCUCUCCUCCCCUCAGGACUCCAGUGGUAGGCCUCUCCUCCCCUCGGCACUCCAGUGGUGAACCUCUCCUCCUCUAUGGACUCCAGUGGUGGACAUCUCCUCCCCUCUGGACUCAUGUGGGUGUGGGGAGAGAGAGUUUCAGAGUUCUACAAGAGAAAUGAUGUGCCUUUGUCAACUUCAAGAAUCCCAACAUGGCUCGCACCUGAAAGAGGCUCCAUCUGAGUGGUGGGAUGAAACAUAAUGCUGUCUGUCAUAUGCAUUUAACUAUUUUGUCCUCCUGUCCAGGGGGUGGAGCUGGAGAGAACCAGGCUGAUGAUCAGGUACCCAGACAGCUAGAUAGAGAACCACUACCUCUGCCCAGAGGACCAACCCUAUAGGCCUCAACACCUCCUCAGCCUCCCAGUACGCCUCCACAGGGACCAGGAGGAUGGCUCCCAUCAAUGGUGAUGAGUGUUUCUUCUGGUGGACCACCGGCUGUUUCUAUGGUGACAAGUGUCGCUUCAACCACAAGCCUAAUCAGAGAGGAAGAGACAGGAAACCAUGUCAACCCUGUCCACCCCGCAGUGACUGGAUAGUAGAGAGGGAGGAGAAUGAUGAAGAUUAAGGAAGAGGAUGAGGGACUGUGUCCCUACUUUAAAAGGGAACAGGAUGCUUGGGGGGGGUGUCACCCCGUUUGUAGUCCUCUGGCACAGACCACAGAUCCCAGACAGAACACUGGACAUAUAUAAUGAGUGUGUGAAGUGUCAAUCAAAGUGAAGAGGAGUGCACCUCUGAUUUCCUUCCCUCUCUCCCUCAGCCUGAGCUGUGAAACAUGGAAAUUACAUCAUCAUUAGAACCUUGAAGGGAUCUUUGCCCAGUGAACCUCCUGUGUGAUGACCAUGUUGUAGACACUAAGGGGGCUGACAUCUGUUGUUAUCAUGUGUUUUACUGUGUGUGUAUGUAUGUAUGUAUGGUCAUGUGACUGGACAUGUGACCUGAAUGUGUGACCCCUUGUGAUGUCGCUGUGAGACUCACUGGCAGCCUGAUGCCGUAGGGUGCCUAGUAAUUUCCCCAACAGGGGAUAAAUAAAUGCUAUUUUUGAAUUGAAUUACAGUUGAAUAUGGGGCAUGUUCCAGGCAGAUUUUAUUGCAGUCACCUGCCUGCUCUCACAAACAUUAGUCAUUCUCCUUUUUUACCUAAAUGGGUACUAUAAUUCAAAAUAAAAUAGCUAGAUGAUCCAUGGUAUGACCACCUUAAAACAAUUCCACAUGUCAGCUAGUAGAACCCCCCCAAACGGCUCAGACUUUUAGAUGUUCAGAAACCCAGUGUCAGAGGGAGCAAUGUCCAGCACCUAAACACACAAAUCAAAUCGUAUUAGUCACAUGCUCCAAGUAUAACAUGCGUAGACCUUACUGUAAAAUGGUUAAUGACAAGCCCUUAACUAACAAUGCAGUUGUUUUUAUGUAAGAAAAUAAUGAAAACAAUUAUUAUAAAAAUGCUACAAAAAAGAUCACAAUAAAAUAACAAUAACGAAGCAGCAAUAAACAAUUACAUGAAAGAUUAUUCAUUGUCAUUUUCAACAAAAAAACACCACUCAGACACUACAGGACACAAUAAUCCCAGACAGACAGACAGACUUAGUUAUAUGCAUGUCAGGGUUCACUUUGGGUCCGUUGUUCUGAAGAUCAGUGAGCUGAACACAUCUCUUUCAAACAAGAACACACUGGAAACUCAGAGCAGCUUGCCUUGGCCUUGGRAUAAUGACAGCUCACUGUUGUCUGUUGUUUCUAGCUAGCUAAUGUUGAUAGCUAAAUGUUAGCUAACUAGCUAGCUCACAACCUAACUAUGGGGUUUUGCUGUAAUUCAGCA